CGAAGCGUGCGAUUGGAUUGCACGUCUAAGCAGUAAGGCUGAGUAUUAGGCAAAUCCGGUACUCAUUAAGGCUGAGCUGUGAUGGGGAGAAGACAUUGUGUCUUCGAGUCGUUGAUUUCACACUGCCGAGAAAAGCCUCUAGAUAGAAAAUAGGUGCCCGUACCGCAAACCGACACAGGUAGUCAAGAUGAGAAUUCUAAGGUGAGCGAGCGAACUCUCGUUAAGGAACUCGGCAAAAUGACCCCGUAACUUCGGGAGAAGGGGUGCUCUUUAGGGUUAACGCCCAGAAGAGCCGCAGUGAAUAGGCCCAAGCGACUGUUUAUCAAAAACACAGGUCUCUGCUAAACCGUAAGGUGAUGUAUAGGGGCUGACGCCUGCCCGGUGCUGGAAGGUUAAGAGGAGUGGUUAGCUUCUGCGAAGCUACGAAUCGAAGCCCCAGUAAACGGCGGCCGUAACUAUAACGGUCCUAAGGUAGCGAAAUUCCUUGUCGGGUAAGUUCCGACCCGCACGAAAGGCGUAACGAUUUGGGCACUGUCUCAACGAGAGACUCGGUGAAAUCAUAGUACCUGUGAAGAUGCAGGUUACCCGCGACAGGACGGAAAGACCCCGUGGAGCUUUACUGUAGCCUGAUAUUGAAAUUCGGCACAGCUUGUACAGGAUAGGUAGGAGCCUUUGAAACGUGAGCGCUAGCUUACGUGGAGGCGCUGGUGGGAUACUACCCUAGCUGUGUUGGCUUUCUAACCCGCACCACUUAUCGUGGUGGGAGACAGUGUCAGGCGGGCAGUUUGACUGGGGCGGUCGCCUCCUAAAAGGUAACGGAGGCGCUCAAAGGUUCCCUCAGAAUGGUUGGAAAUCAUUCAUAGAGUGUAAAGGCAUAAGGGAGCUUGACUGCGAGACCUACAAGUCGAGCAGGGUCGAAAGACGGACUUAGUGAUCCGGUGGUUCCGCAUGGAAGGGCCAUCGCUCAACGGAUAAAAGCUACCCCGGGGAUAACAGGCUUAUCUCCCCCAAGAGUUCACAUCGACGGGGAGGUUUGGCACCUCGAUGUCGGCUCAUCGCAUCCUGGGGCUGUAGUCGGUCCCAAGGGUUGGGCUGUUCGCCCAUUAAAGCGGUACGCGAGCUGGGUUCAGAACGUCGUGAGACAGUUCGGUCCCUAUCCGUCGUGGGCGUAGGAAAUUUGAGAGGAGCUGUCCUUAGUACGAGAGGACCGGGAUGGACAUACCUCUGGUGUACCAGUUGUCGUGCCAACGGCAUAGCUGGGUAGCUAUGUGUGGACGGGAUAAGUGCUGAAAGCAUCUAAGCAUGAAGCCCCCCUCAAGAUGAGAUUUCCCAACUUCGGUUAUAAGAUCCCUCAAAGAUGAUGAGGUUAAUAGGUUCGAGGUGGAAGCAUG
rnacentral:rRNA from 1 species